CCCAACUCUUCUGCACUGCCCACUCCUGGUUUCAGGUUCUCCUGCAAAGCGGACACAACCAGGCCCUCAUGACGUGGGUGAGCGUGGUACUUUAAAGCACGGAACAGAUCUGCAGGCUGGAAACUGAUGGGAGACAUUCUCCGGUACAAACUCGUUCACUGUGCCAUUGGUUUGUGCAGCUUCACACCGUCACAUUUACCUUGGGCUACCCCAGGCAGGCGAUGAAUCCUGUAACUGAACUAGAAAGACAGGACGUCCACUGG